UUUCACUUCUUCACAUCGCCAUCUCCAGAUCACUGCUGCAGCUUUUACAGAGCUCCAUCUUUCCCACUGAGGCUUUCCAGUUCAAAAUCCAAUCAGCAGAUCAGAUUGAAAACCUGACAGAGAAUCCUGAAAGCAAGGAAGAGAUCUCUGUGGGUGAUUCAGCUCCCAGUGAAAACCCCCACUUAAGGAAUAAUAACCAGGAGAAGUUCCAGCUCGUUGCAGUCUGCAGUCCUCACCACUAGAAGCCACUAAAUCCCCUAAAUGUUAAAGCCCUGACACACCAAGCCAACGAUCGGCCCCCCAAUUCAUCAUGUUGUAAUGCACACAUAAAUAUGCUUUGGUCUUUCAGAACUGGAUUGUGUUGUUAAUGUGCUAACUGGCUAACUAACAUCAAGACGGUCCUCUGGUUUCCCCUUUUGAAUGACAAUUACAAACUACCACCAUCUGCUAGUAUGGAGAAUUAUUUCGUAGCAGGCUGCUUCGUCGCCACUGGUUCUUUUAAGUCAGUUUGCUUUG